ACAUAAUUUUUUAUGUCUUUACUAAUAGAUGGCCAAUAAAAGUCCCUAAAUAUUCUUUGUUUCGUUUUGUGAAUUCCCAUGUGGCCUGCAUAUGCUUCAUCAUGCCCAUUCUUCAAUAUGACAUUUCUAAAUUCAGCUGGUACAACAACCUGUAUAAUUUUGCUUCCUUGUGACUCAAUUUCUCUUACCAAAAUUCCUCUUUC